GAAUACCCUAAGCGGGUCUUCCGCCCUGGUUUCCCUUUCUCAGCGAAUGACUUGGAUCAGCGCUCGCGCGCCGUAACGCGGCCCUUUUGGGCCGCGGCGCUCCGCGAGGGCGCGGCAUAAGCCGCGACGGCCGGUCGGCCUUGCGAGGUUUGCCUCGAGGUCACCAGCUCGUUACUGGCGGAGCGCGGUCUUUAGGGCUUGUAGCUCAGUUGGUUAGAGCGCGCGCUUGAUAAGCGUGAGGUCGGAGGUUCAAGUCCUCCCAGGCCCACCAUCUCUAGUGCAACCCGAAGGGUUGUCGCUCGCAAUCCGCAAGGAUUGUCGGAUCUCCUCGAUACAGUAUCAGGGAAACAAUCAGGGGCCGUAGCUCAGCUGGGAGAGCGCCUGCUUUGCAAGCAGGAUGUCGUCGGUUCGAUCCCGUCCGGCUCCACCAUCUUUCUUCUUCGGAAGGAGGGGUGUUGAGCAGAGAUGAACACCGUCAGGCAAGUCAUUCGUAAAAAAGGUUUGUGGUGAGCGCCUAGCUUGCCGCUUGUUCUGUUUUGACAUCGUAAAGAGAAGAUUUGUUCGAACUUCAUGAGCCGAAAGGUUCGUGAUUUGUCGCAGGAGACGCUCAAUCUCUUGCAUAUGAUGGGUUUGCCUAACCGCGCCCUCGAACCGAUCUCGAGAAGCUGGUCUUUUUGUGCCAAUGACAUCGGAUUGGAUCCCGCACAGGAUCCGGUUCAGGCGACAAUCUCUUCGAGAUUGCGCGGACGCCAACCUUGCAAGGGGAAGGCUGAAGCGACGAUCCCUUCGGGAUUGCGCAGGUGGGCAUUGGCAAUGAGAACGAUCAAGUGUCUUAAGGGCAAUUGGUGGAUGCCUUGGCAUGCACAGGCGAUGAAGGACGUGAUACGCUGCGAUAAGCUACGGGGAGGUGCGAAUACCCCCUGAACAGU
rnacentral:misc_RNA from 1 species